AUAUCAGUAAGCGGAGGAAAAGAAAACAACCGUGAUUCCCUUAGUAGCUGCGAGCGAAACGGGAAGAGCUCAAAACCGAAUCUGGCGGUUUCAAAUAACCGUCCGAAUUGUGGUUUAUGGACUGACUCUAGGGCUGUCGCGCUGCUUUAAUCUCUGUUGGAAUACAGAACCAUAGAGGGUGAUAGUCCCGUAAAGGCGGCUGCGGUGGUUCAAACGAGUUUGUUCCCCGAGUCACACUGUUUGAGAGUACAGUGUAAAGUGGCAGGUGAGUACCUGCUAAAGCUAAAUAUUCGUCGGAGUCCGAUAGCAUACAAGUACCGUGAGGGAAAGUUGCAAAGAACUUUGAAAAGAGAGUUAAAAGAACCUGAAAUCGGUAACGAGGAAGGGUUCGGAGCCUCGCCGCCUCUGCAAAUUCUGUUGUCGGGUUUGAUACGAAGGGCACCGCUGAAUAGUUCUUUUACUGUCGUCGGUGUUUGGAGUGUUUGGCCCGGUGGCGAUAUUUUUGCAUGCAAGACAGAAUCGGUUCUUGCCGUCCAAUCGGGGUAUUGGAAGGGUGGUUUCGGGAUCUUAACCGGUUCUGAAGUCCGAAAUCUGGUAUCUUCUGGAUGGCGAAGACCGAAACGGUCCAG
rnacentral:rRNA from 1 species